CACUGCAUACAGUGAAUGGUGCCCCUGCAAUGAUGGAACUGUUGUUUUCCUGUGUUUAUAACACUGGAAAUCCCGGGGGCCAUCAAGUAUAAGACCACAGGACCACGUGAUUCAUAAAGAACUACUGUCAAAACUAGGGCCGCCAUUACCAACAUGUGACCUUGAGAAGGCAAUCAACGCUGAGAGCUUCAUUCCUCUGAUACAUAAAGAUUUAUAAUCACCUUUGAGUUUGAAGAUAACUUGGAUUAAGUAACCAUAAUAAAUUCUAAUAAAAUAUUGGUUGUCCUUUCCCUCUAC
rnacentral:lncRNA from 10 species